GACGAACGCUGGCGGCGUGCCUAAUACAUGCAAGUUGAGCGCUGAAGGUUGGUACUUGUACCAACUGGAUGAGCAGCGAACGGGUGAGUAACGCGUGGGGAAUCUGCCUUUGAGCGGGGGACAACAUUUGGAAACGAAUGCUAAUACCGCAUAAAAACUUUAAACACAAGUUUUAAGUUUGAAAGAUGCAAUUGCAUCACUCAAAGAUGAUCCCGCGUUGUAUUAGCUAGUUGGUGAGGUAAAGGCUCACCAAGGCGAGGAUACAUAGCCGACCUGAGAGGGUGAGCGGCCACAUUGGGAUGGGGACACGGUCCGAACUCCUACGGGAGGCAGCAGUAGCGAAUCUUCGGCGAUGGACGCAAGUCUGACCGAGCAACGCCGCGUGAGUGAAGAAGGUUGUCGGAUCGUAAAACUCUGUUGGUAGAGAAGAACGUUGGUGAGAGUGGAAAGCUCAUCAAGUGACGGUAACUACCCAGAAAGGGACGGCUAACUACGUG
rnacentral:rRNA from 1 species